rnacentral:rRNA from 1 species
UAGGGAAUCUUCCGCAAUGGACGCAAGUCUGACGGAGCAACGCCGCGUGAGUGAAGAAGGAUUUCGGUUCGUAAAACUCUGUUGUUAGAGAAGAACAGCGCAUAGAGUAACUGUUAUGCGUGUGACGGUAUCUAACCAGAAAGCCACGGCUAACUACGUGCCAGCAGCCGCGGUAAUACGUAGGUGGCAAGCGUUGUCCGGAUUUAUUGGGCGUAAAGCGAGCGCAGGCGGUCAAUUAAGUCUGAUGUGAAAGCCCCCGGCUCAACCGGGGAGGGUCAUUGGAAACUGGUUGACUUGAGUGCAGAAGAGGAAAGUGGAAUUCCAUGUGUAGCGGUGAAAUGCGCAGAGAUAUGGAGGAACACCAGUGGCGAAGGCGACUUUCUGGUCUGUAACUGACGCUGAUGUGCGAAAGCGUGGGGAUCAAACAGG